UGAGGACUGGCUGCUUUCCCCGACAAAGAAUAAAACUGACGCCACAGGCUUUCUCAACUCAACCCGUGUGAUUUCACACGGAUGCUGCAUGCAAUGGCGGCAGAUGUCUUACCGGGUCUGAAUUGAACACAAGCUGCAAGUCCUGUGGUUGUCAUGCUGGUUCAACCAAGCAUGGAGGAAUGGGACAGCUGCAGCCCCUGAACCCCAGUUCCAACUGGAAGCUGGCCAUCUUGAAGCUUCAGCUGUUUUUCUCGAGUUUCUCGGAUCUCAUUUCGGUCUUCCUUUUCUUGAGUUGUUAAAAAAACAUAUUUUACCUCGAUUCCGACAUAAAACAGACAACCGCAACUGUAUCACCUACUCAAUACCGGCCCUCCAAUAUACGUUUUCACUCAGAGCAAGAUAGUGACGACCCAGAAAGGAGGCAUUUCUGAGGUACGAAAGUUAGCCUUGGCUUUAACCCCUGAUGACGUUCCAUGGCUCUGGUGUGCAGGGUGUGCAGGAUAAGUCAAAACAAAGCACCAAACUUUGCCCUGUCAGGUUGUCACGACAUCAUCCCACCACAUACACAGUGAUCCCUCUUUCGCGCAUUCCGAGGGGUGCGGAACUUACUUGUUUCAAAUUUCUUGGGCGAUGACUUCGAUUUUGCGAAUCCCCCCCCCAAAAAGCAGUGAAGAUAUAAAACGAGAGUUUAUAAUAGUUAUACAACUCAUGAUAUUCUAGCAAGCGUUUCGGAUGUGUCUGUUACUAUCACAUUCUUUCCCCUUCCUAUUUCUCUCUUAAAUCAUUCCAACUCCAAAAUGGACACUCAUUCUUCCACCCUGGACAUGGAUGUCGUUGAGCUUGUGCUGCCCAAAUAUGUGUAUACAUGUAACUUGAUUUCAGAUUCGAUAAUUUGUCAGUUACUCUCUUGUACUGUACAGUACCUUGCUAUUUACUAUUUCUAUUUAUACAUAUCAGUCCAUUAAGUUUAUUAGAGUGCUGUAUAUUGUGACAAUAUCUCCAUUCAACUUCUCUUGCACCUUGACUAGUCGCAUCUUGACUUAGCUAAUGUUGUCGCAAUCAGCAUAUUAUCUAGGUGUAAAUCUAGCUCGAAUGUCAUAGGACGGAUUUAUUUUCCAAACGCCCUCAUUGCACAUGAGUCGGAGAAUGUGGAGGGAUAAGGUAGGGUUUCCGAAAGUGAUAGUCGCAUAAUGGUUUCGAUCAAAUACCCUCCAAGUAAUCACGAAACUUUCGGUGAUCCAUGUUCACAGCGCGUGACUGAUCGGAAUUUAAUAAUUAAAGGAUAACAACACCCGUAACCACCCAGGGUGAAUAUAUCGAUACUCCACUGGCUUCUCUUGAUAUCGUGACUCAAGACUGCCCGCCAGGGCGCCAAUGUUACUUGGCCCACCUCACAUUAAGGGCGUGAUUAUACAAGGAAAUAUACCGGAUCCAUAGACUGAUCAGUGAUUCCCUAUUGACACAGAGGUUCGAUUGGCUUCCGCGUAUGCAAUGUUGUAUCGCUAUCUAAAAUCGCGGUUGAUCAGAGACAUAUCAAAUACAACCACGGUAAUAGGAUAACGGGCCGGAACAGGUACGGAAAUAUGAUACUCACGGCUGACGGAUAUCAGUCCAAUUCACCAAUAUAAUCACAUUGCUCUGACAAAGACCGGCCUCUCCGCACCACCCUUCAUUGAUACCGCCGAGAAUCCAACAAUCUCCCCCGCUGGUACCGCCAGACUAGGUAGCCUGUGACGAUCCCUAGAGCAGCUGUACCUCCGAAAACGAUCCCAAGAAUGGAGCCAAUAGAUAGCCCAGACCCGCUCGGUGAACCGCUGUCGUUAUCGCCAGGGCCUGGAGAGGAAUUAGUAGGACCGGCAGAAGCAGUUGGUAAGGGAAUUGUGGGAAUCGGCGUGGCAAUCUGGGAAACCAGACUGGUAAGUUGGGCGGAGUUAAUGAAGGACGAGCAAGGCGCGAAAUCCUAAGUUGCAAGAUACGAGUGUGAGUAA
rnacentral:sRNA from 2 species